UACCUGGUUGAUCCUGUCAGUAGUCAUAUGCUUGUCUAAAAGAUUAAGCCAUGCAUGUCUAAGUAUAAACUGUUUAUACAAGUGAAACUGCGAAUGGCUCAUUAAAUCAGUUAUAAUUUAUUUGAUAGUACCCUUUUACUACUUGGAUAACCGUGGUAAUUCUAGAGCUAAUACAUGCACAAAAGUCCUGACCUUUACGGAAGGGAUGCAGUUAUUAGAUACAAAACCAACCCGGGCAACCGGUUUUUUGGUGAUUCAUGAUAACUUUGCGGACCGCAUGGCCUUGCGCCGGCGGCGGGUCAUUCAAAUUUCUGCCCUAUCAACUGUCGAUGGGAGGAUAGAGGCCUACCAUGGUGAUAACGGGUAACGGGGAAUUAGGGUUCGAUUCCGGAGAGGGAGCCUGAGAAACGGCUACCACAUCCAAGGAAGGGGGCAGGCGCGCAAAUUACCCAAUCCUGAUACAGGGGAGGGAGUGACAAUAAAUAACGAUGCAGGACCUUUUGGGCCUUUGCAAUUGGAAUGAGUACAAUUUAAAUCCCCUUAACGAGGAACAAUUGGGAGGGGCAGGUCUGGGGGCAGCAGCCGGGGAAUUCCAGCUCCAAUAGCGUAUAUUAAGUUGGUUGCAGUUAAAAGCUCGUAGUUGAUUUCAGGGGUUUUUUUCGAGCUAGCCAAUGGUUCCCUUUGGCGGGCAAUGUGCAUUUGGGCUACAGCCCUUUUUUUUCUGCUAGGAGAUGNNNN
rnacentral:ncRNA from 1 species